rnacentral:rRNA from 1 species
UACGUAGGGGCAAGCGUUAUCCGGAUUUACUGGGUGUAAAGGGAGCGUAGGUGGCAAAGUAAGUCAGAUGUGAAAGCCCGUGGCUUAACUGCGGGAUUGCAUCAGAAACUGCUUUGCUAGAGUGCAGGAGAGGUAAGUGGAAUUCCUAGUGUAGCGGUGAAAUGCGUAGAGAUUCAAAGGAACACCAGUAGCGAAGGCGGCUUUCUGGACCAUAACUGACGCUGAGGCACGAAAGCGUGGGGAGCAAACAGGAUUAGAUACCCU